AUGGAGAAGGAAGUACGAGGUUUAGGACUAAGAUCACAACUGUGGAGAAAGAGUUGGCAGCCUUGUAUGAAAAAUGUGUUGCUCAAAAUAAGCGAGCUGGAAAUGGAGAAAGCUCAUCUUCCUCUACAAACAUUCCUAGUAUCCCGGUUCAAGCUGGGUAUGAGUCCUUCUUAUCGUCCCGUUCAACAAGAAUAUCAAAGAGUGAGUUGA
rnacentral:rRNA from 1 species